rnacentral:rRNA from 1 species
AACGCGAAGAACCUUACCUACCCUUGACAUGUCCAGAAUCCUGCAGAGAUGCGGGAGUGCCCGAAAGGGAAUUGGAACACAGGUGCUGCAUGGCUGUCGUCAGCUCGUGUCGUGAGAUGUUGGGUUAAGUCCCGCAACGAGCGCAACCCUUAUCAUUAGUUGCUACGCAAGGGCACUCUAAUGAGACUGCCGGUGACAAGCCGGAGGAAGGUGGGGAUGACGUCAAGUCCUCAUGGCCCUUACGGCCAGGGCUACACACGUGCUACAAUGGUCGGUACAGAGGGUUGCCAAGCCGCGAGGUGGAGCUAAUCUCACAAAACCGAUCGUAGUCCGGAUCGCAGUCUGCAACUCGACUGCGUGAAGUCGGAAUCGCUAGUAAUCGUGAAUCAGAAUGUUACGGUGAAUACGUUCCCGGGUCUUGUACACACCG